rnacentral:rRNA from 1 species
UACGUAGGCAGCGAGCGUUGUUCGGAGUUACUGGGCGUAAAGAGUAUGUAGGCGGUUUGGUAAGUUCGGUGUGAAAUCUCCCGGCUUAACUGGGAGGGUGCGCCGAAAACUGCCGGGCUAGAGUGCGGGAGAGGAGAGCGGAAUUCCUGGUGUAGCGGUGAAAUGCGUAGAUAUCAGGAGGAACACCAGCGGUGUAGACGGCUCUCUGGACCGCGACUGACGCUGAGAUACGAAAGCGUGGGGAGCAAACAGG